GUGCAUGUGAUGAAGCAAAUCAGUAUGAAUGAAUUCAUGAUACUGUAAACGCUUUCUGAUGUA
rnacentral:snoRNA from 10 species